UCCGGCUUAUCACCGGCAGUCCCACUAGAGUGCCCAACUAAAUGUUGGCAACUAAUGAUAAGGGUUGCGCUCGUUGCGGGACUUAACCCAACACCUCACGGCACGAGCUGACGACAGCCAUGCAGCACCUGUGCAGAUGCCCCGAAGGGACUACCUAUUUCUAGGUCAGUCAUCUGCAUGUCAAGUCUGGGUAAGGUUCUUCGCGUUGCAUCGAAUUAAACCACAUGCUCCACUGCUUGUGCGGGUCCCCGUCAAUUCUUUUGAGUUUCAGCCUUGCGACUGUACUCCCCAGGCGGUAUACUUAACGCGUUAGCUACGGCACAACUAGGGUUGAGUCCAGUUACACCAAGUAUACAUAGUUUACGGCAAGGACUAC
rnacentral:misc_RNA from 1 species